GGGUUGUUAGCUCAGUCGGUAGAGCAGCGGACUUUUAAUCCGUAGGUCACUGGUUCGAAUCCAGUACAACCCACCA
rnacentral:tRNA from 1 species